rnacentral:lncRNA from 1 species
GGGCAGAAGUCGAGGGCUAGGAGCCUCCGCCGGCGCACGCUGGGGAACAGGUCUAGGUUAAUAGCAGGUAAUUGUGACAAGUCCAGUGUGGGUUACUGGUCAUGAAGAAUCCAUUGUUGAUGACAUCCCAGAAGAGAACACUAAGUCUUAUCUUUCAUCUUACCCCUGAACUUCCCUUCCUCUGAAGAGUGGAAUACUACCCAGCAUCCUCUCACAUACAAAGAAAGAACAAAUUGCUGAUAGACACAGAUGUCCAUCAAUCUCAAAAGUCGUCAUGAAACCUCUGGAAGAAUUGAGCUGGUCGACUAUGCAAACACUUGUCAAGAGCCUAUAAAAUACGCAGCAUAAAAUUUUUCCUUUGUAGUCAAACCUGAUUAUUCCUCUUAAAUACUGGGAACAGAAUUUCACAGUUGUCAGAGAAUAUACCUUUUGUAUUUUCGUAUUAAAUAUUCUAUUAUUUACAAUUGUAGUUUAACACCUUUUUUAGCUAAAAUUCUCAUUUUUCUCAUUCUGUUAAAAAUUUCCAAUUCCAACACGAAGAUAAUAAAGAAUACUAAUUUUAUCCUUAUUAACUUGAAGGAAGUAAUAUUUAUUUUUGCAUUUCUGUACUUAAGUAAAUCACAAAUAGAGUUUUCUGUAGUUGUAGAAUUAAUAUAAAGUAAAGUAGCAUAGUAUUCAAUAAGAAGGGAUUUUUCUUUUUUAAAAAGAGGUCUGAAUUAUAAACUAAAUAUCUGUGUAACCUUGAACAAUUUAUUA